AAAAAGGAAAAAAAAAAAAAAAAAAAAAAAAAAAA
rnacentral:ribozyme from 13 species